AUUGAACGCUGGCGGCAGGCCUAACACAUGCAAGUCGAGCGGAUGAAGGGAGCUUGCUCCUGGAUUCAGCGGCGGACGGGUGAGUAAUGCCUAGGAAUCUGCCUGGCAGUGGGGGAUAACGUCCGGAAACGGGCGCUAAUACCGCAUAAGUCCUGAGGGAGAAAGUGGGGGAUCUUCGGACCUCACGCUAUCAGAUGAGCCUAGGUCGGAUUAGCUAGUUGGUGGGGUAAAGGCCUACCAAGGCGACGAUCCGUAACUGGUCUGAGAGGAUGAUCAGUCACACUGGAACUGAGACACGGUCCAGACUCCUACGGGAGGCAGCAGUGGGGAAUAUUGGACAAUGGGCGAAAGCCUGAUCCAGCCAUGCCGCGUGUGUGAAGAAGGUCUUCGGAUUGUAAAGCACUUUAAGUUGGGAGGAAGAGCAGUAAGUUAAUACCUUGCUGUUUUGACGUUACCAACAGAAUAAGCACCGGCUAACUUCGUG
rnacentral:rRNA from 1 species